AGUGAACGCUGGCGGUAGGCCUAACACAUGCAAGUCGAACGGCAGCACAGUAAGAUCUUUCUCUUACGGGUGGCGAGUGGCGGACGGGUGAGGAAUACAUCGGAAUCUACUUUUUCGUGGGGGAUAACGUAGGGAAACUUACGCUAAUACCGCAUACGACCUACGGGUUAAAUCAGUGGAUCUUCAGACCUUGCGCGAUUGAAUUAGCCGAUGUCGGAUUAGCUAGUUGGCGGGGUAAAGGCCCACCAAGGCGACGAUCCGUAGCUGGUCUGAGAGGAUGAUCAGCCACACUGGAACUGAGACACGGUCCAGACUCCUACGGGAGGCAGCAGUGGGGAAUAUUGGACAAUGGGCGAAAGCCUGAUCCAGCCAUACCGCGUGGGUGAAGAAGGCCUUCGGGUUGUAAAGCCCUUUUGUUGGGAAAGAAAAGCAGCAGGUUAAUACCCCGCUGUUCUGACGGUACCCAAAGAGAAAGCACCGGCUAACUUCGUG
rnacentral:rRNA from 1 species